rnacentral:misc_RNA from 1 species
UAUCCGAAGAAUUUAGCUGCACGUUCUUCCACAGAGCAGGUUGCUGCGUUCUAAAAGUAGGCGAGGAUGCGCUCAGAAUGAUUCGAUGGGCCGCAGUUCUGCGUUGUGGUUCUCAUGGCGUGCGCGAGGAUCGCCAGGCCCUGGCGCGCCAUCACUUGAAUCUUCUUGACAAGCGUCACUGGGAACUGACAACGCCGUCUCGGGCGCUGCCGGUGGUGGAGGUGUUGAUCCGUUCCGGUGUUCUGAUGGACAGGCUUGAAAAAAGCAGCACCAAGCCCCUGGCGAACUUGACUCCAUCCAUGACAAAAAAGGAGCGCGGUUUGGUGCAGAAGCUCUCCCGCAUGCUUCACCAAACCUCGCCACCUACGGCACGCCACGUAUCCAGGAAUGCAAUGGAGGUGGACGAGGCGGUUCGUGCCGCGUAUUCUUCGGCAUGCGCAACCGGAGCGUGCACGCUCGACGUGGUAGUCGACCUGGCUUUCGUCCGACACCUUCGAUUUCCUUCGUCUGCGCUGAUGCUGCUGGAGCUGGUGGAAUCGCGAUGCAUGAAAGUGUGCUGGACAAGAGGGAAACCGUGCCUCUCCAAGGAGGUGCUAGACUCCAUUUGCGACCUCUUUGCCGAACACGAGCAGUCACUGGACUUCAGGGCAACGUGGUGGUUGCUCUCGCUGCUGGGCGGUGGUACCCAGGCCAGCGACUCCCCGAUCACACUGUCUGCUGGAAAGCGGCUCUUUCGGCUCUGUGUGCGCCGCAUUCAUUACCUGCUUCCUGACCUGCCACUCGAAGAUCUACUCCUCGCGUAUGUACAGCUUGCACGCAUCGAGGGCUACGAGAAGCCGUUCAUUGUUCUUGGCGAGAUUGAGAGGCUGGCCCUCGCCACCUCGUCAGAUGAAUACACAGCUGUAAGCACCAACGUGCUCUUGCGGUUUAUGACGAUGCCGUUCGCGAUGCGGCACACCGAUUUGAAUCUGCGCCUGUGUGCCGGCUGGAGUGCGGCUUCGAGGAUAACAGAAUUUACGCAGGAGGAGUGUCUCGCUGCGUUCGCAAUCGUUGCCGCGCUGCAUGAGGGCUUCUCUGCUGAAAGUGCAGCCGCGGUUGCGGCACUUCGGGACUGGGAGACGCUGCACGACGCGCUUUUCGCACAGGUAUUCUUUGUUGCGCAUGAGAUGACGGCGGCCGACUGCUUUCGCAUCCUUGACCAGUCGGAGUUGAUCAAUAUAUCGGGCUGGGGCAUCACCGUGCCGCAAAUGCUGCUUGAGAAGCUUAAGAAGAGAAUCGUGUCGGAGUGCAUGCACUAUGCCAUGGAUGAAUGCCGUGUUCCUGAGGCAGCGGAGCUGCUGCUGCGGGUUGCGCUUGCGCUGCAGGCGUUGAUGCAGCGCUACACAGUGCUGCCGAGCAACGCGGCCGACGAGCACGCUGUUGCUGAGUGCAUUCUUCUUCUGGAACGCUGUAUCACAGCGUUCCCACCUCACGGUUGAGGGAUGUGACUUGGGGACGCAUACAGACGCGACAUGUGCGGUGCAGUGCGCCGGCCGUUUCAUGCUUUGUACCGUGUGGCGUCAAGUGAGCAGCUGCUGUCGUGCUUGCUUUCAUCUUGUGCUGCAGUUUUGUUCUACACCGAUAGAGUUCUUCCGUUGAAGGCGCCCCCCCCCCUCCCUUCACACGUCUAUUUCAGCUG